rnacentral:rRNA from 1 species
GUGGGGAAUAUUGGACAAUGGGGGAAACCCUGACGCAGCAACGCCGCGUGAGUGAUGAAGGCCUUCGGGUUGUAAACCCCUGUCAGGUGGGACGAACCCCGGUACGUCGAACAGGCGUACCGACUGACGGUACCACCAGAGGAAGCUCCGGCUAACUCCGUGCCAGCAGCCGCGGUAAUACGGAGGGAGCAAGCGUUGUUCGGAAUUACUGGGCGUAAAGGGCGCGUAGGCGGCCUCGUAAGUCGCAUGUGAAAUGCCGGGGCUCAACCCCGAGCACUGCAUGCGAUACUGCCUGGCUGGAGAGAGGUAGGGGCGAGCGGAAUUCCCGGUGUAGCGGUGGAAUGCGUAGAUAUCGGGAAGAACACCUGUGGCGAAGGCGGCUCGCUGGACCUUUUCUGACGCUGAAGCGCGAAAGCGUGGGGAGCAAACAGGAUUAGAAACCCUAGUAGUCC